GGUCCAUGACCCACACCCAGAAUGAUGUACAAGGGGAUGGGAGUUGUAGCCCACAUAAAUUAAGGUAAUGAAGCUGUGGCAUGUGGCAAGAAUAAAAAAUUCAGAACGUGAGUAUUGAUGUAUACAUUAUAGCGUUAUCAAUGUGAUUGUCUACAUGUCGCUCCCAUUAAAAUGAAAAAAAAAAACCAAGACAAGACCUGGGGAGACUUAAAGGUAAGGAGGCAAUGCAACAAAGCAUCAGAAAAAGUAAGCUGGGUGCUGGGUUUUAUAGCUAGACCCAUUAGUAGCAGAGAGAGGUAGGUGGUUAUAUCACUUUACAUAUCUCAGAGACUUAGAUGUAAUGAAAGAAAGUUUUUUACUUUACUCAGAGGGUGAAUGCGGAGCAGCCUCACAUUAGAAGUGGUAGAGGCUAAUAUAAUGAUGGAAUUUAAACAUACAUGUAUAGGAAAAUUGCUAUGCUGAAUCAAGGUUUCAGUCUU